rnacentral:tRNA from 1 species
GGUCUCGUGGUGUAGCUGUUAUCACACCUGCUUUACGCUCAGGAGGUCGCCGGUCCGAUCGCGGCCGAGAUCA